UGCUCCUGGCUGGCUGAAAGACCUGCUGGCAUCAUGGACUGAGCGGUUGCUGGCAGGGACUGGGGGAGGAAGAAGGAGCUCCUGGCCAGCUGCUGGGACUGGGUACAAGACUUCAGCCCUACGGUAAGAGUGAAGCGUUCGAGAAGGUGCUGGGGCCGGGGAAGUGGCCCAGGGAAGAGAAAUGCAGCCUGUGUGUGACGCGGCCGGAGCGGGAGUCACUGACGAUCGCCGGAGAAGCCACCGACAGAGGUCACUGCAGACUGACAGUGCAGGCACCUGGCCGGAGGGCGCUGGUGAGAGAAUUUGGCUGCAGCUGGCUCUGCGCAGGGGGCUGUGUCAAUCAGCAAUCAAGACCUUCGCUUUUCUAGAAGUGGAGAAAGGAACUCUGGCUGCCACCCCUGCAGAUACGUUACGGCCCCUUCUGUCUGUGCUGGGCCCAGCCUGGGCCCGGGCACUGAGCGGCCGGCAGGUUGGCUCAGCAGCACUGGAACGGUUCUGCUGUGUCUCUGCAUCAUUUUUGUGGCUCCUGUUCUUUGUUGCGAAUUAGAUCGAGCCAGAUUCCCCCCGGGAGACUGGAGUGUCUCCAGCAGCCUGUGCUCCGCUGAGUCCCUCAGAAACCUCCUCCAGCUACUCUUAUGUGUUUAGUGCUUCUCACCGUGGAAAGUGUGGGCUGCGUUUCGAGUCCUCCUGCUCAGUGCACAUCUCAAUGCACGCAGCGGAGCUGGAUGGGCCUGUUGAGAGACG